rnacentral:rRNA from 1 species
AAAUUGAAGAGUUUGAUCAUGGCUCAGAUUGAACGCUGGCGGCAGGCCUAACACAUGCAAGUCGAGCGGUAGCACAGGAGAGCUUGCUCUCUGGGUGACGAGCGGCGGACGGGUGAGUAAUGUCUGGGAAACUGCCUGAUGGAGGGGGAUAACUACUGGAAACGGUAGCUAAUACCGCAUAACGUCGCAAGACCAAAGAGGGGGACCUUCGGGCCUCUUGCCAUCAGAUGUGCCCAGAUGGGAUUAGCUAGUAGGUGGGGUAACGGCUCACCUAGGCGACGAUCCCUAGCUGGUCUGAGAGGAUGACCAGCCACACUGGAACUGAGACACGGUCCAGACUCCUACGGGAGGCAGCAGUGGGGAAUAUUGCACAAUGGGCGCAAGCCUGAUGCAGCCAUGCCGCGUGUAUGAAGAAGGCCUUCGGGUUGUAAAGUACUUUCAGCGGGGAGGAAGGUGUUGAGGUUAAUAACCUCAGCAAUUGACGUUACCCGCAGAAGAAGCACCGGCUAACUCCGUGCCAGCAGCCGCGGUAAUACGGAGGGUGCAAGCGUUAAUCGGAAUUACUGGGCGUAAAGCGCACGCAGGCGGUCUGUCAAGUCGGAUGUGAAAUCCCCGGGCUCAACCUGGGAACUGCAUUCGAAACUGGCAGGCUAGAGUCUUGUAGAGGGGGGUAGAAUUCCAGGUGUAGCGGUGAAAUGCGUAGAGAUCUGGAGGAAUACCGGUGGCGAAGGCGGCCCCCUGGACAAAGACUGACGCUCAGGUGCGAAAGCGUGGGGAGCAAACAGGAUUAGAUACCCUGGUAGUCCACGCCGUAAACGAUGUCGACUUGGAGGUUGUGCCCUUGAGGCGUGGCUUCCGGAGCUAACGCGUUAAGUCGACCGCCUGGGGAGUACGGCCGCAAGGUUAAAACUCAAAUGAAUUGACGGGGGCCCGCACAAGCGGUGGAGCAUGUGGUUUAAUUCGAUGCAACGCGAAGAACCUUACCUACUCUUGACAUCCAGAGAACUUUCCAGAGAUGGAUUGGUGCCUUCGGGAACUCUGAGACAGGUGCUGCAUGGCUGUCGUCAGCUCGUGUUGUGAAAUGUUGGGUUAAGUCCCGCAACGAGCGCAACCCUUAUCCUUUGUUGCCAGCGGUUAGGCCGGGAACUCAAAGGAGACUGCCAGUGAUAAACUGGAGGAAGGUGGGGAUGACGUCAAGUCAUCAUGGCCCUUACGAGUAGGGCUACACACGUGCUACAAUGGCGCAUACAAAGAGAAGCGACCUCGCGAGAGCAAGCGGACCUCAUAAAGUGCGUCGUAGUCCGGAUUGGAGUCUGCAACUCGACUCCAUGAAGUCGGAAUCGCUAGUAAUCGUAGAUCAGAAUGCUACGGUGAAUACGUUCCCGGGCCUUGUACACACCGCCCGUCACACCAUGGGAGUGGGUUGCAAAAGAAGUAGGUAGCUUAACCUUCGGGAGGGCGCUUACCACUUUGUGAUUCAUGACUGGGGUGAAGUCGUAACAAGGUAACCGUAGGGGAACCUGCGGUUGGAUCACCUCCUUACCUUAAAGAA